GAUGUGUUAGGUGCGCUGCUGACUUCUGAAUCUCGCGACUGCGGCCUAGGAAGGAACACUCUUGGCCUUCGGGUUCUAAAGCCUGAAGACAAGGCUGCUAGUUUUACAAAGUUCAAUAAUCGUCGGCGUCAGAUUCAGUCAUGGUGAUUAUAUUCGUGAGAGUAUAAGCACGCCGAAUCGACACCAAAGUGUAAGGGCACAAAUACUCAAAAUAAAUGUGUGUCUUGAUUGUGAAAGUGGUUCGACUGUCAGAAUGCCAAACUCUAAAACCCACUUGCGAAUAACCAAUCAUAAACGACUCGGCGUUCAAUGUGCCGAGUAUAAUAACUUGUAAACCUCGUUUCGCCAAGAAGGCUAACAAAAUAACCUCUGCUGAUAAGGAUUCGAAAAUCCUUCUCAAUCGAGACUUGAAUAGAUAACCAGUCGACCCUGUCGCAGUGCUGUUUAUCCAAACUGAAGGUGCUUAACGGUCGGCUGAUUCUACGGCAACAGUGAUGUUUAUCCAAACUGAAGAUGUUCACAGGUUACCUCCACAGUGCUGUUUAUCCAAACUGAAGGUGUUUUGGUGAAGAAAGGAAAACAAAAAUCUCAAGGUUGUUGAGAGGUUUUGAGUAGAGCGAGAGAAUGCGCAGAGCAAUUUGUGUGUUGAAUUGGAGGGGGUUGUUUCGAUGUCUUCUCUCCCUAUUUAUAACAGCCAACUUAUAUUAAAUCCCAAUCACUCCAGGAUUAGAACUCAUUUCCCUGAUCCAGCUUUAUCUCGGCCAAUCUUACUCAUACUAGGACUUUGAACACAACUCGUUAUCAGGCCGUAUUCAGUUCCAGCAUCCUGAUCAUGUCGAAACUCCUUCAUUCAGUUCCAACAUCCUGAUCAUGUCGAAACUCCUUCUCAUAAUAGGACUCAUCCAUAUACCUAAUUCCCUGACGAGAUAUGGCCAAUUUCGACUGCGUAACCCAUAAACUAAAAAAACCCCCAAUGAUACCCAUCCACGACUUCUAAGCCGAGAAGGACUCUGAACUCGGCCUAACCAACACUGGGCCGAGAUCAUUCUAAACUUGGCUCAAAACAAUAUUUUUGGGCUCAAACACCCCUAUUUGGAGUAAAGGGGUCCAGCCACUUAUGGUGGUUUUUUGGUGUAAUUGCAAGAUAUUAUGUCAAAAUAAUAUCUUGCAUAAUAUCUAUCUUGCAUAAUAUCUUGCAAUCAAUUAUGAAAUUAAUUAGAAAAUUAAUCAAUUAAUUUAGAUAAUUAAUCAUAUUUUGAAUGAAUAAUUAAAGGUUACCUUGUGGGGAGGAUUUGAUGAGGAUGGAUGGAAUAGGUUUUGAAUAAAUACCUAUUUUGAUCACUUUUGACCUUGAUUGAGUUGCAAUUGUUUGUUGCUUGCGAGUAGGAGUUCCGGAGUGUCUCAAGGGUACUUUGUCUUUUUAACCCAAGAAUCCACGUGUUGCCUCCAUAUUUUUCUCCAUUAUUUUUGGCUCCACAAAUGCCCCCACACCUAUUGGGCUGCUUGCAGGAACAGGCAGCAGGUGUAGAGAUCUUCUUGCUUCGGGAAACAUAAGAUUGUUUCCUAUUUUGAUGUAGAUUCCUUCUUUCAUUGGAAAUUAGAUUAUUCAAGGAAAGGGAAAUAAAUUUCUCCCAAAGUCUAUUUAAGUUUACCUUAAGUAGAUUAUUAAAUCAACUUUGGAGUGCAAUUUAUUCUACCCUACAAGAGAGAGAAAGUUAGAGGAUAUUUGUUCCCCCUCCCCUAGCAAUCUUCUACACAUGCCCGUGCAAAGGACCGUCUUUUGUUGCUUUCUUCGUCUUCACGCCACUCAGAGGUAAGAAAAAAUUAAUUGUCCUUGUCUUCUCAAUUUUUGGGAGCCUCGAGGCUUGAAAUUUGGCUCGACGGGGGUCGAGGAUGUGUGAAAAAGGGCUUGGACAAGUUCACGACAUUGUUUCCGUGGGUGGCAAGAUGCGGAGUGGUGGUGGCUCGGCUUAGCUUGGGCCGAAGGUUGAUAUGGAUGGUAUGGGCUAAGAAGUUGGGCUAGAUUAAUAGGCUUUGGCUCGUUAGAAGAAGUGGA
rnacentral:lncRNA from 1 species